rnacentral:rRNA from 1 species
UACGAAGGGGGCGAGCGUUGUUCGGAUUUACUGGGCGUAAAGGGCGCGCAGGCGGCUUAUUUUGUCAGGCGUGAAAGCCCCGGGCUUAACCUGGGAACUGCGUUUGAUACGGAUGGGCUAGAGUUCGGGAGAGGAGAGUGGAAUUCCCAGUGUAGAGGUGAAAUUCGCAGAUAUCAGGAGGAACACCGGUGGCGAAGGCGGGUCUCUGGGAAGUAACUGACGCUGAGAAGCGAAAGCAUGGGUAGCAAACAGG